GCUCCUGCCAGGGGCGGACUGCUGCGCUCUCGCGGAGGGGAGCUGGUGCGUCGACGGGGCUCGCACUCGCUCGCUCGCUCGCUCUCUCUUUUCCUCCGGUUGCCCUUCUCUGCCAGUUAUGCAGACUCCUGGCGGCGGCGGCGGCGGGCGCUGCUGCUAGGAUCCGAUGCUGGUUGCUCGGGAGCCGGGCGAUGGAGCUGGGGGGCUGAUCCUCGCCGGCGACGACGCUGAGAGGGGAGAAGAAAGGACAACCGCCGAGGGGGCGCCCCUCCGCCCGGGUUCCAGCGCGCAGCACGCCUGGGUUUCAGGUUGUCCGGCUCUCUCGCCUCCUCCUCCUCUUCCCACCGCCGGACGCCCUCCCGUCUCUAAAUGGAAUUAGUGGAGAUCGGAGCCCCUUGUGUAAGGAACAGACAUGAUCCAUGGGCGCAGCUUGUUUCACAUUGUAGCAAGUUUUAUCAUCCUACAUUGGGCUGGGGCAACAAAAAAAGGAGCAGAAAAGCAAACCACUUCAGAAGGCCAAAAGACAGUGCAGUGUGGAACGUGGACAAAAUAUCCAGAAGGAGGCAUUUUCACUUCUCCCAAUUAUCCCAACAAAUACCCUCCUGAUAGAGAGUGUGUCUACAUUAUAGAAGCUGCGCCAAGACAAUGUAUUGAGUUACACUUCGAUGAAAAAUAUUCCAUAGAACCUUCUUGGGAGUGUAAAUUUGAUCAUAUUGAGGUGCGGGAUGGACCUUUUGGCUUUUCCCCAAUAAUUGGUCGUUACUGUGGACAACAAAACCCACCAAAAAUAAAAUCCAGUGGCAGAUUCCUUUGGAUUAAAUUUUUUGCUGAUGGUGAACUUGAAUCUUUGGGAUUUUCUGCACGAUACAAUUUUACACCUGAUCCAGACUUCAAGGACCUUGGUGUUUUGAAACCAUUGCCAGUUUGUGAGUUUGAGAUGGGAGGAUCUGAAGGAAUUGUGGAAUCUGUGCAAAUUGGGAAAGAAGGGAAAGCUUCUGAUGCUGAGGCAGUUGAUUGUAAGUGGUACAUCCGAGCACCACCACGUUCCAAGAUAUAUUUACGGUUCUUGGACUAUGAAAUGCAGAAUUCUAAUGAAUGCAAAAGGAAUUUUGUGGCUGUCUAUGAUGGAAGUAGCUCAGUGGAGGAUUUAAAAGCUAAGUUUUGCAGCACUGUUGCUAAUGAUGUGAUGCUGCGCACAGGUCUUGGAGUAAUCCGCAUGUGGGCAGAUGAAGGCAGUCGAAGCAGUCGAUUCCAGAUGCUCUUCACAUCUUUCCAAGAACCCCCCUGUGAAGCCAACACAUUCUUUUGCCAUAGUAAUAUGUGUAUUAAUAAUACAUUGGUCUGCAAUGGACUCCAGAAUUGUGUGUAUCCAUGGGAUGAAAACCACUGCAAAGAAAAGAGAAAAGCCAACAUAUUGGACCAGCUUACCAACACCAGUGGGACAAUAAUUGGAGUAACUUCUUGUAUUGUGGUCCUUCUUAUCAUUAUAUCUGUUAUAGUGCAGAUCAAACAGCCUCGUAAAAAAUUUGUUCAGAGGAAAACAGACUUUGAUCAAACAGUAUUCCAAGAAGUAUUUGAGCCCCCUCAUUAUGAGUUAUGUACUCUUAGAGGGACAGGGGCUACCGCGGACCUUGCCGAUGUUGCAGAGGAUUUUGAAAAUUAUCAUAAACUGCGUAGAUCAUCUUCAAAAUGCAUUCACGACCACCACUGUGGAUCACAAUUAUCUAGCACUAAAGGCAGCCGUAGUAACCUCAGCACAAGAGAUACACCUAUCUUGACAGAAAUUCAGCCCCAGCCUGUAAAGCCCUUAAUCCAGCCCAUGAACAGAAGAAAUAUUCUUGUCAUGAAGCAUAGCUACUCACAAGAUGCGGCAGAUGCGUGUGAAAUAGAUGAAAUCGAAGAAGUACCAACCACGAGUCACAGGCUGUCCAGACAUGAUAAAGCUGUCCAGCGCCAUAACAUUCCAGGUUUUGCCUCAUUGGGUCUCUAAACAAACAUGAAUCUGAGUACAACACAACUAGGGUGUAAAAGACAAACUCAAGACAGCUUGAGAAUAGCGCGAUCCUGAGUGAUACUGAAUGUGCUGCAGUGAAUUGUGAAAAGUGUCAGCCCUGGGACUGCCAGCUAGAGAUGUUCUGGAUUCUGCCCACCUGUUCCAAUUUCAUGGGGGAAAAACACACCCCACCAUCAAUCAGUAACGAGUAAAAUUAAUGGAUGGCAAUAAGACUCUUAUUACUUAUCAUUGCUACCAUUUACUAUUGUUAUUCUUAUCAGGGUUUUUUCUUUCUUUAUAUUUAUUUUUGUUUUGUUGCAAAGAAAAAAAAAUACCCAGUUUCAGGAACAAAUGAUAAAAUCAGGUAUUUAUCCAUUCACAAUCACUUCUGUGGAAAUAUAUGUUGGAUAUAAAUCUAACAAUAGGACUGAAUUUGACACUGAGAAACUGAUUUGCAUGUAAGUUGCUGAAAAUCCGAGUUGGCAAUGCAACAAUGAAAAAUCCCUUUGAUAAGGUACAUUGUAAAAAGCAUGCAUUCAUAAUUACUGCUGUUCCUAUCCAUUUAUUUGUGUCAUAUGCUUGCUAAUUGUAACUUUUUAUAUAAAGAUACAUAAAAUGAUGUAUAAUACUUUCUUACACUGAGUUUUAUAGUACUCGUUUCUUUACUGCAGCAAAUAAUCCUUUUGAAAAAUCGGUUUAUAAUAUAAUAUAUUGGUUCACAUCUAAGAACACAGGCCUGGAAUAUGCUUGUCUGUAUUUUUGUAAAAAGCUGAAAUCUUGCUGACCAGCCAUGUGCCCCGAGAAGGAACAAUAGGAAUACCAAACUGAGGCAUCUUCCAACCAAGCAGGCUGGUGGGAUUUCAGGUUUUAUAAAAGGGAAUAUGUGCACACACUCCUUAUUUUUAGAUAAGGCAUGGAAGUCUUAUGUGAUUCCCCAUUCAUAAGGUUUGCUUUUGUCUGCAUAUGGAUAAUAAUUGUACUGGAGUGGCUGCCUAUAGAGCGGAAAUGAAAUCUGCUAAAAGUUUCCAUCUGAAUACCGCAACACUGAAUGAGCAAUUUUAAAUUCUUUUUCUCCACAAAAUUUGAAAACCAAGUUCUGUUGAGUUUAGACUUGUUGGCAUCUCCUGUUGGUUUUGAACUCAACAGGAAUGAAUACCCAGGAGCAGUUUGCAUUCAC